GGCCUUGGCGAGGCCUACCGUGCGCGUCGAGCGGAACGAGUUAUCUGAACCUUCGGGGAACGAUAACGGCGUCGAGCGGCGGACGGGUGAGUAAUGCCUAGGAAAUUGCCUUGAUGUGGGGGAUAACCAUUGGAAACGAUGGCUAAUACCGCAUAAUGCCUACGGGCCAAAGAGGGGGACCUUCGGGCCUCUCGCGUCAAGAUAUGCCUAGGUGGGAUUAGCUAGUUGGUGAGGUAAUGGCUCACCAAGGCGACGAUCCCUAGCUGGUCUGAGAGGAUGAUCAGCCACACUGGAACUGAGACACGGUCCAAACUCCUACGGGAGGCAGCAGUGGGGAAUAUUGCACAAUGGGCGCAAGCCUGAUGCAGCCAUGCCGCGUGUAUGAAGAAGGCCUUCGGGUUGUAAAGUACUUUCAGCAGUGAGGAAGGGGGUGUCGUUAAUAGCGGCAUCUCUUGACGUUAGCUGCAGAAGAAGCACCGGCUAACUCCGUGCCAGCAGCCGCGGUAAUACGGAGGGUGCGAGCGUUAAUCGGAAUUACUGGGCGUAAAGCGCAUGCAGGUGGUUUGUUAAGUCAGAUGUGAAAGCCCGGGGCUCAACCUCGGAACUGCAUUUGAAACUGGCAAACUAGAGUACUGUAGAGGGGGGUAGAAUUUCAGGUGUAGCGGUGAAAUGCGUAGAGAUCUGAAGGAAUACCAGUGGCGAAGGCGGCCCCCUGGACAGAUACUGACACUCAGAUGCGAAAGCGUGGGGAGCAAACAGGAUUAGAUACCCUGGUAGUCCACGCCGUAAACGAUGUCUACUUGGAGGUUGUGGCCUUGAGCCGUGGCUUUCGGAGCUAACGCGUUAAGUAGACCGCCUGGGGAGUACGGUCGCAAGAUUAAAACUCAAAAUGAAUUGACGGGGGCCCGCACAAGCGGUGGAGCAUGUGGUUUAAUUCGAUGCAACGCGAAGAACCUUACCUACUCUUGACAUCCAGAGAACUUUCCAGAGAUGGAUUGGUGCCUUCGGGAACUCUGAGACAGGUGCUGCAUGGCUGUCGUCAGCUCGUGUUGUGAAUGUUGGGUUAGUCCCGCAACGAGCGCACCCUUAUCCUUGUUUGCCAGCGGAGUAAUGU
rnacentral:rRNA from 1 species